UCUCACAAUCCAAAGAUGUGUGAAUUACAGAUGAUAAGUUGUCUAAAGGUGUGAAAGUGUGUUUUACUGCCAAUGGAUGGAUCCGUGGCUGAGGUUUUAUUUUUUUUUAACCUUGUUCGGAGGUUUCAUGAACGUCUAUAUCGGAUGUUCAGAAGACGUCAAAAAAAGACGUCAUAAAAACUUUCAUUCUGGCUCCUCAGUGGACGUCUUUUCAACGUGAGCCAUGACGUCAAAAAGACGGCUUCUGGACAUAACUUUGCUCAGUGAAGCGAAUCGCAAUGCUGAAAAGACAUGUUCAGUAACAACUUUUCGUUACACACACAUAGUUGGCUAACAAUGCCUUUGGGAAACACCCCAGAAUGUUUUUUGGUGGUUGGUACUGGUCUAGCUGGUGGAUCAGCAAAGCCAUGCUAUUCACCAGUUAAAAGGUAAAGUGUUUUUCAAGUAAUGAUCUUAAUCUAAAACAUAAAUAAACAGUUUGUACUUAAAAAGAUGGUUGAUGCAAGGAAAUUUUAGUAAGCUUUUUUAUUAUAAAAAUUGUUUGCAUUUAUUUAAAAUAUUUUUUGUAACAUUAUAAAUGUCUUUACUGUCACUUUUGAUCAUCCUUGCUGAAUAAAAGUAUUAAUUUCUUCAAUUUAAAAAAAAAAAAAAAAAUUCUUACUGACCCCAAACUUUUGAACAGUACACAGCAAAAUCCCCAGUGUUAAAUUAACACCCAAAGUGUACAUAUGAGUCCAUCUUGCCGGGUGUUAAAAAGUAACACUGAAGCAGUGUUAAAGUUAAUGAGAUAAUUGAUUGAUGAUUGAGUGAUGAUUGACAAUCAGUAGUGACACCUGAUGUUAAUAAGCAGAAUCACUGAAGAAACAACAAGAGAAAAAGAGAGAGACUUCCAGCCAUUAAACAUUAUUGCACUUAUUAUUAACCAGUUUGAUUUUAUUUCUGUAAUACAUCAACAAAAGUUCUUAUUCAGAAUUAACAGAUGUUUAGAUGUUAAUGUUUUAAUGAAAGUUUAGUUUAAAGUCACCAUGAUGGUGAAAAGCAUUUCCUUUAGUUUUUAGAUUUAGGUUAACAAUGCUUUGGGAAGCACAGCCAUGAUGAUUGUGUUUUGAUGAUAUUUUCAUUGUGAAAUGGCCUGAUUUGUUGGUGACAUCCAGUAUUGCCCUAGUGAUUGGUCAUAUAGAUGUGAUAUUUCUUUACACUAAAUCUGUUACCGCUUGAGUUUUUUUGAAACACACACAGACAUCAAGAAUCAGCAUAUGACCCUCAACAAUGGUGACAAUCAAAGUGCUUCAUGUUGCAGUGCAUGAUGGGAGCCACCAAUCAAAACUCAUCCAUGGCUCCCAUCAUGCAUUGCUGCAUGAAUAAAUUAUGCAGCUGAAUUGUCCUGUAAUUUUCAUGUUUGCUUUUAUUUUUCUGUUGUUUUGUUGUGACAGUAGCUUGUUUUGUGAUGUUCAGAGUUGAUCUGUUUGUCAGUAUUUUGUAUUUAGUUAUUGUCACCGUUCUUGAGAAUCAUAUGCUGAUUCUUGAUGUCUGUGUGUGUCUAAACACAGAAGCUUUGUGCAUAAUGUAUUUUUCUUAAAAAAAAAAAAAAAAAAAUUGUUCAAACUGCUGUUGGAUCUCAAGCUGUAAACUCACAGGACUACAAUCAUUAAUACUAAAGCAACACAUCAAGCAUACGGUCAGAGAUUUAGACUCUAAAUGACAUCAGGCCAUUGCAUAAUGAUAAUAUCAUCACCAAAACAUAUUGUGACCGGACCAUAUUUUCUCUGGUCAUAACAAAUGUGCUUUACAAACACAAAGUUGGAGCAGCCAGAGAAAAACUAAUAAUAAAAGGUAAAGAGUCAAGAGCCCAACUAAAGCAAACGCUGGCCUCUUUCAUGGUGACUUGAAAUGAAACAAUCCAUAAAACAUUAAUUAACACCUUUUUUCUCUCUUUCCUUCAAUGAUUCUGCUUAUUAACAUCAGGUGUCACCACUAAUUGUCAAUCAUCACUCAAUCAUCAAUCAAUUAUCUCAUUAACUUUAACACUGCUUCAGUGUUACUUUUUAACACCCGGCAAGAUGGACUCAUAUGUACACUUUGGGUGUUAAUUUAACACUGGGGAUUUUGCUGUGUAGUAUAAUGUUACAAAAGCUUUAUAUUUCAGAUAAAUGCUGUUCUUUUGAACUUUCUAUUCAACAAAGAAUCCUGAGAAGGAUCCUGAGAAUCUGAAGGAUCAUGUGACACUGAAGACUGGAGUAAUGAUGCUGAAAAUUCAGCUUUGAUCACAGGAAUAAAUUAUAUUUUAAAAUAUAUUCAAAUAGAAAAAAGUUAAUUUAAAUUGUAAUAAAGUUGUUUUUUAAUCAAAUAAAUGCAGCCUUGGUGACCAUAACAGACUUCUCUUAAAAACAUAUAUAUAUAUAUAUAUUAGUUCUAGUAUAUACUAUAUAUCUAGGCCUACUUGUUUCAUUGAAUUGAUUUUCUGUCAUUUUCUAAUGAAGACCAUCCCAUUUUGAUAAACUAUAAAACGAAAACUAGCAUGUUGAUUCAUUAACCUGCCGAUCUGAAAAUCUCAUCAGGUACAAAGUCAAAUACUUACUGAGUACAAAUACAGAUCAUUAAAUGUUAUCUCUUACUCUCUCUUAUACUCUCUCAGUAUGAGUGCACAAGUCUGAUGGAUUCUUGUGCAGAAAAAAACAGGUUCUGUGCCCCAUUAGAGACGUCAAGUGCAUGAGUUCAACAGUGGUGACACAAGCUGGUGAAGAGGGGAAGCUGAUAAAUAUGUAAGAGCAGCUCAAUUAGUCAAAAACAGUGUAAAGCUUUGAACAGCAUGAAAAGGAGAAGCUUAUGAAUUAGUUAAGUGCUUUCAAAGAGUUUUUACUGUUUUAAAAAAAUUGUGAUGAAUUUGAUCAACAAUAAACAUGCCAUUUUUUGAAUAACUACUAUCAUUAAUAGUAGUAUUAAAACUAAUUUCUUUAUCAUCUUGAUUAGAUGGAGUGUAUAAGGGAAGCUUCCUUCUGCUCUUCUCUCCUCUGCUCUUCUACUUCCUGUAGAAGUCCAGAUUCAAGACUUCAGAUUCUACAGCAAAGAUCACCACAAAAACUGUCUGAAUAUGAGACACAAUUGAUUUAAUUUACUGAAUAAAGCUUGUUUGUUGCUCUGCUGUU